GAUGAACGCUGGCGGCGUGCCUAAUACAUGCAAGUCGAGCGAACAGACGAGGAGCUUGCUCCUCUGACGUUAGCGGCGGACGGGUGAGUAACACGUGGAUAACCUACCUAUAAGACUGGGAUAACUUCGGGAAACCGGAGCUAAUACCGGAUAAUAUAUUGAACCGCAUGGUUCAAUAGUGAAAGACGGUUUUGCUGUCACUUAUAGAUGGAUCCGCGCCGCAUUAGCUAGUUGGUAAGGUAACGGCUUACCAAGGCAACGAUGCGUAGCCGACCUGAGAGGGUGAUCGGCCACAUGGGAACGGAGACACGGUCCAGGCUCCUACGGGAGGCAGCAGUAGGGAAUCUUCCGCAAUGGGCGAAAGCCUGACGGAGCAACGCCGCGUGAGUGAUGAAGGUCUUCGGAUCGUAAAACUCUGUUAUUAGGGAAGAACAAAUGUGUAAGUAACUAUGCACGUCUUGACGGUACCUAAUCAGAAAGCCACGGCUAACUACGUG
rnacentral:rRNA from 1 species